rnacentral:lncRNA from 1 species
ACCAGCCUUUUUAAAAGCAGGACGCUGGGAUGAUCUCCAGGACACAUCUAUGAUCUCAGUGGUCUGCCCUGCAGCACGUGGCCUACUCAGCUUGUUCCAUGCUGUGCAUUCACACAGCGAGUGAAUGCUCUCUGGGCGCCAGUGGAACAUCUUUCUCCCCUACCUUGAGCCCUGAGGAUCUGCAUGAGAAGUGUUCUCAUCUUCCUGCGAGGACACUCAGUCCAGGUAGGUAGGUGAUGUGAAACCAAGCAAGUAAGAUACAGCACCUGAUCGUGAGCAUGCAGAUGAAGGCAGGACCGAGCCUAUGUCCUUUGGGUCUCUGCUCAAAUGUUCCAGGUCGAACAGGUCCUUCCAACCACAGCAUCUGUAUUAGUUACUUCUGUGUCCGCGUGAUUAAAUACCUG